UUAACCUUCUUAGACCUGGGAUAAGCUACUUUGAAGCUUAAUUGGAAUAUUUAGCCAUUUAUGAAGCUAAAAUCGGAACUUAAUGCACUAAGUUGUGCGAAUUGAUGCAAAUUGGGAUUUUUUCUUCGCAGCAGGUCUUCGAGCCUCGUUGAGCUGAACUUGUACCUUUUGAAGCUGGUUUGGGAGGUAUUCUAACCUGAGCGAGAGGGUGUUUGACCCUUGGACCGCCUUCGUCUGGUCUUGGAGGACCUUCUGGAAGCUUAACGUGAGGAUUGCGACCUAGUGGAGCUGAUCCUUGGAACUCCUUGGA